UACGUAGGGUGCGAGCGUUGUCCGGAAUUAUUGGGCGUAAAGGGCUCGUAGGCGGUUUGUCGCGUCGGGAGUGAAAACCUACAGCUUAACUGUGGGCUUGCUUUCGAUACGGGCAGACUAGAGGUAUGCAGGGGAGAACGGAAUUCCUGGUGUAGCGGUGAAAUGCGCAGAUAUCAGGAGGAACACCAAUGGCGAAGGCAGCACUCUGGGACGUGACUGACGCUGAGACGCGAAAGCGUGGGGAGCAAACAGG
rnacentral:rRNA from 1 species